AGAGUUUGAUCCUGGCUCAGGAUGAACGCUAGCGGCAGGCUUAAUACAUGCAAGUCGAGGGGCAACAGGGGUAGCAAUACCUGCUGGCGACCGGCAAACGGGUGCGGAACACGUACAGAACCUUCCUUUAAGUGGGGGAUAGCCCGGAGAAAUCCGGAUUAAUACCCCGUAACAUUAUUGAUGUGGCAUCACAUUAUAAUUAUAGAUUUAUCGCUUAGAGAUGGCUGUGCGGCUGAUUAGGUAGUUGGUGUAGGUAAAGGCUCACCAAGCCAACGAUCAGUAACUGGUGUGAGAGCACGACCAGUCACACGGGCACUGAGACACGGGCCCGACUCCUACGGGAGGCAGCAGUAAGGAAUAUUGGUCAAUGGACGCAAGUCUGAACCAGCCAUGCCGCGUGAAGGAUGAAGGCCCUCUGGGUUGUAAACUUCUUUUAUGUGGGAAGAAAUGCAUUUAAUCUUAAAUGUUUGACGGUACCAUAGGAAUAAGCACCGGCUAACUCCGUGCCAGCAGCCGCGGUAAUACGGAGGGUGCAAGCGUUAUCCGGAUUCACUGGGUUUAAAGGGUGCGUAGGUGGGCUUGUAAGUCAGUGGUGAAAUCUCCGUGCUUAACAUGGAAACUGCCAUUGAUACUAUAGGUCUUGAAUUAUCUGGAGGUCAGCGGAAUAUGUCAUGUAGCGGUGAAAUGCUUAGAUAUGACAUAGAACACCAAUUGCGAAGGCAGCUGGCUACAGGUAUAUUGACACUGAGGCACGAAAGCGUGGGGAUCAAACAGGAUUAGAUACCCUAGUAGUCC
rnacentral:rRNA from 1 species